rnacentral:rRNA from 1 species
CCUACGGGGGGCAGCAGUGGGGAAUAUUGGACAAUGGGCGCAAGCCUGAUCCAGCCAUGCCGCGUGAGUGAUGAAGGCCCUAGGGUUGUAAAGCUCUUUUGUGCGGGAAGAUAAUGACGGUACCGCAAGAAUAAGCCCCGGCUAACUUCGUGCCAGCAGCCG